UACAGAGGUGGCAAGCGUUGUUCGGAAUUACUGGGCGUAAAGGGCGCGUAGGCGGCCAUCUAAGUCAGACGUGAAAUCCCUCGGCUCAACCGGGGAACUGCGUCUGAGACUGGAAGGCUUGAAUUCGGGAGAGGGAUGUGGAAUUCCAGGCGUAGCGGUGAAAUGCGUAGAUAUCUGGAGGAACACCGGUGGCGAAGGCGGCAUCCUGGACCGAUAUUGACGCUGAUGCGCGAAAGCCAGGGGAGCAAACGGG
rnacentral:rRNA from 1 species